rnacentral:rRNA from 1 species
GAGUUUGAUCAUGGCUCAGGAUUAACGCUGGCGGCAUGCCUAAUACAUGCAAGUCGAACGGAGUAGCAAUACUUAGUGGCGAACGGGUGAGUAACACGUAUCUAAUCUACCAUUUAGUGGGGAAUAACUGUUGGAAACGACAGCUAAUACCGCAUAAUAUUGCUGGAUAAUUUCCAGUAAUGAAAGGAGCUUUCAAGCUCCGCUGAUUGAUGAGGAUGCGGCGCAUUAGCUAGUUGGUAGGGUAAUGGCCUACCAAGGCAAUGAUGCGUAGCCGAUCUGAGAGGAUGAACGGCCACAUUGGGACUGAGACACGGCCCAAACUUCUACGGAAGGCAGCAGUAGGGAAUUUUUCACAAUGGGCGAAAGCCUGAUGGAGCAAUGCCGCGUGACUGAUGAAGGUCUUCGGAUUGUAAAGGUCUGUUGUAAGGGAAGAAAUGGUAAAACAGGAAAUGGUUUUAUCUAUGACGGUACCUUACCAGAGAGCCACGGCUAACUAUGUGCCAGCAGCCGCGGUAAUACAUAGGUGGCAAGCGUUAUCCGGAUUUAUUGGGCGUAAAGGGUGCGUAGACGGUUUUGCAAGUCUGAGGUUAAAUUUAGGAGCUCAACUCCUAAUCGCCUUGGAAACUACAAGACUAGAGUAUAGGAGAGGUUAGUGGAAUUCCAUGUGUAGCGGUGGAAUGUGUAGAUAUAUGGAGGGAACACCAGUGGCGAAAGGC